UGGAAGCGAGCUAUUCAAUAACCUGAUGUGCGUGCUUCUUACUAUGCUGCUGGGCUAUGCGCCGUCGAUCGGACAAAUCGUCAAAGAGAAAUGGUCAGCAGCCGUGUCAAUGUUCCAAGAAUGGAGAGCUCGCCCUUCCCUCUGCCGUCACUGCGGUACUGCCCCGUGCCAGGUUAAAAGGAGAUUAUUGUGGAAGCCUUCCGGGAGUCGUAAGAAAGACAAGGCGAACUUCUCAAAAAGGUCAAACGCCAUGAUGUUGUUUUACUAUGAACUAGAGUUGUCCGUAGUACUGACCAAAGAGCUGCCAUGGAAUGACCUGUACUUGGAGAGGAAGUUCGUCCAGCAUUUUGAGGAGGAACAUAUGGUGUUGUUCCCUUUGUGCAUCCAGCGUCAGAUCAACUACUGGUACCAUGUCCCUCGCUAGAUUCGUUUCGCCGUUCAAAGAGAAGAAUGUGGAUUGUAGUCUGUGAUGGAAUAGAAGUUUGAGAUUGACGUCAGAGACUAGAUUUUAUUGUCUUAGUUUUUGUUGGGGUCACAAUCCGAUCUGAUUGGAAUGGUGUUUGGCCAAUGUUAUAUUGUACCUUAUAUUAGUUUUAUUGAAUUGUAACUCUAUGGAUCUUGACCAAUAGUGGUUUCGUGAAGAACGGAACCGAUACCUGACGAAUUGGCUAUUUAUAACUUAGCUAGUAUUGUCCAGCAGUAAUCCAAUUUAUAAAUUUCGAUGGUGUUGUUUGAUUGGUCAGUUGCUAAUUUGAGUAGUAGUGGAGCUGAAAAGUUGACCAAGCAGCAUUGGUCAGUUCGAAGUCGGUUCGCCUUAUGUAGAUUUUCCCGGUAUUUAUUACAUUAGCAAGUUAGAACGAUGUCGAUCUUAACUGUUUAUUAGUGUUUUGAGAAAAUUUGUCAAAUGCUGAACGUAUAAGUCAGCUCAAACCACUAGUGAUAUCACGCUGGUUGUGGCUAUCAUUUCGAAGGUUCUAACUCUGUCACAUCUUGAAAGCUAUCGAUCCCUCGUAUAUUUAUUCAUGCUAAGUAUUUUGGCAUUUCAAAAUGGAUUGAUUAUGCAUUGACCGCUGUCGUGGUCAGUUAUACACUCGGACAGACUGACCCACAGGUUCUGUAAAAUUACCAACAUGCAUAAUUCUGUUCAUUUUGUACUGGUCAGUUUUGCGUUUGCGAAUUUGUGUAGU